GAGCCAGACUCCUACGGGAGGCAGCAGUGGGGGAUAUUGCACAAUGGGGGGAACCCUGAUGCAGCGACGCCGCGUGGGUGAAGGAGCGUUUCGGCGCGUAAAGCCCUAUCGGCAGGGAAGAAGGAGGACGGUACCUGACUAAGAAGCCCCGGCUAACUACGUGCCAGCAGCCGCGGUAAUACGUAGGGGGCAAGCGUUAUCCGGAUUUACUGGGUGUAAAGGGGGCGCAGACGGCAGCGCAAGCCAGGAGUGAAACCCCGGGGCUCAACCCCGGGCAUGCAUUGGAAACUGGCGGGCUGGAGUGCCGGAGAGGUAAGCGGAAUUCCUAGUGUAGCGGUGAAAUGCGUAGAUAUUAGGAGGAACACCAGUGGCGAAGGCGGUCUGCUGGACAGCAACUGACGCUGAGGCGCGAAAGCGUGGGGAGCAAACAGGAUUAGAUACCCCGGUA
rnacentral:rRNA from 1 species